AUUUGAAUAUGAUGAAAGUUAUGAAAUGGGUGAUGAUUAUUAUUCAUCUGAUCAAAAAUCUGUUCGCUACGUUCUUUCUGAUUCAUAC
rnacentral:snoRNA from 1 species